GACGAACGCUGGCGGCGUGCCUAAUACAUGCAAGUAGAACGCACAGUUUAUACCGUAGCUUGCUCCACCAUAGACUGUGAGUUGCGAACGGGUGAGUAACGCGUAGGUAACCUGCCUGGUAGCGGGGGAUAACUAUUGGAAACGAUAGCUAAUACCGCAUAAUAUUAAUUAUUGCAUGAUAAUUAAUUGAAAGGUGCAAUUGCACCACUACCAGAUGGACCUGCGUUGUAUUAGCUAGUAGGUGAGGUAACGGCUCACCUAGGCGACGAUACAUAGCCGACCUGAGAGGGUGAUCGGCCACACUGGGACUGAGACACGGCCCAGACUCCUACGGGAGGCAGCAGUAGGGAAUCUUCGGCAAUGGACGAAAGUCUGACCGAGCAACGCCGCGUGAGUGAAGAAGGUUGUCGGAUCGUAAAGCUCUGUUGUAAGAGAAGAACGGGUGUGAGAGUGGAAAGUUCACACUGUGACGGUAUCUCACCAGAAAGGGACGGCUAACUACGUG
rnacentral:rRNA from 1 species